rnacentral:misc_RNA from 1 species
UGUCAAAAUUGUGAUGCAAAUGGCCGAAGAAGCCAUACGUGCUCAGGAGAGAGAUCCUUACACUGCAUUUGCGAAUCGAGUGAGAGAGCUUAAUUAUGGAAACUCCUACUUCUUCAGGCCAAUCAAAUAUAAUGACCUUCGGAAAGUCAACCCAUAUAAAGCUUGCGAAUAUUUCAAUAGUUGCUUCAAGGACCCGUCAACUUUUACGGUGGUGAUUGUUGGGAAUAUUGACCCUUCUAUAGCAUGUCCAUUGAUAUUACAGUACUUGGGUGGAAUUCCAAGGCCUCCUGAAG